GAUGAACGCUGGCGGCGUGCCUAAUACAUGCAAGUCGAGCGAACGGACGAGAAGCUUGUGUCCUUGAUGUUAGCGGCGGACGGGCGAGUAAGAAAUAGAUAAGCUACUUAUAAGACUGGGAUAACUUCGGGAAAACGGUGAUGAUACCGGCGCAUACUAUGAACCGGAGGGUUCAAAAGUGAAAGACGGUCUUGCUGUCACUUAUAGAUGGAGCCGCGCUGCAUUAGCUAGUUGGUAAGGUAACGGCUUACCAAGGCAACGAUGCAUAGCCGACCUGAGAGGAUGAUCAGCCACACUGGAACUGAGACACGGUCCAGACUCCUACGGGAGGCAGCAGUAGGGAAUCUUCCACAAUGGGCGAAAGCCUGACGCAGCAACGCCGCGUGAGUGAUGAAGGUCUUCGGAUUGUAAAGCUCUGUUGUUGGGGAAGAACAUAUGUGUAAUUAUCUGUGCCCAUCUUGACGGUACCCAAUCAGUAAGCCACGGCUAACUACGUG
rnacentral:rRNA from 1 species